UACGUGAGGUGCGAGCGUUAAUCGGAAUUACUGGGCGUAAAGCGUGCGCAGGCGGUUUUGUAAGCCAGAUGUGAAAUCCCCGGGCUCAACCUGGGAAUGGCAUUUGGGACUGCAAGGCUGGAGUGCGGCAGAGGAGACUGGAAUUCCUGGUGUAGCAGUGAAAUGCGUAGAUAUCAGGAGGAAUACCGAUGGCGAAGGCAGGUCUCUGGGCUGACACUGACGCUCAUGCACGAAAGCGUGGGGAGCAAACAGG
rnacentral:rRNA from 1 species